GAUGAACGCUGGCGGCGUGCCUAAUACAUGCCAGUCGAGCGGACGGACGAGAAGCUUGCUUCUCUGAUGUUAGCGGCGGACGGGUGAGUAAUACGUGGGUAACCUACCUAUAAGACUGGGAUAACUGCGGGAAACGGGAGCUAAUACCGGAUAAUAUUUUGAACCGCAUGGUUCAAACGUGAAAGACGGUCUUGCUGUCACUUAUAGAUGGAUCCGCGCUUCAUUAGCUAGUUGGUAAGGUAACGGCUUACCAAGGCAACGAUGCAUAGCCGACCUGAGAGAGUGAGCUGGCAGACUGGAACGGAGGCACGGUCCAGACGCCAACGGGAGGCAGCAGUAGGGAAUCUUGCGCGAUGGGGGAAAGCCUGAUGGAGCAACGCGGCGUGAGUGAUGAAGGACUUCGGAGUGUAAAACGAUGUUAUUAGGGAAGAACAUAUGUGUAAGUAACAGUGAAGAUAUUGACGGUACCUAAUCAGAAAGCGACGGCUAACUACGUG
rnacentral:rRNA from 1 species